rnacentral:rRNA from 1 species
CAGUAGCCACGGUAAUACGUAGGGUGCGAGCGUUAAUCGGAAUUACUGGGCGUAAAGCGUGCGCAGGCGGUUCGUUAAGACAGAUGUGAAAUCCCCGGGCUUAACCUGGGAACUGCAUUUGUGACUGGCGAGCUAGAGUAUGGCAGAGGGGGGUAGAAUUCCACGUGUAGCAGAGAAAUGCGUAGAGAUGUGGAGGAAUACCGAUGGCGAAGGCAGCCCCCUGGGCCAGUACUGACGCUCAUGCACGAAAGCGUGGGGAGCAAACAGGAUUAGAUACCCGAGUAGUCCCUGUCUCUUAUAC